ensembl:misc_RNA Metazoa_SRP Metazoan signal recognition particle RNA
GCUGGGCGUGGUGGUGCGCACCUGUAAUCCCAGCUACUCGGGAGACUGAGGCAGGAGAAUUGCUUGAACCUGGGAGGCAAAGGUUGCGGUGAGCCGAGAUUGUGCCACUGCACUCCAGCCUGGGUGACAGAGUGAGACUCUGUCUUUUAAAAAAAAAAGAUAUUUCCCUUUUGAAAAAUCUUUGGAUAUUUAUUUAUUUGAAACAGAGUCUAGCUCUGUUGUCCAGGCUGGAGUGCAAUGACGCAAUCUCGGCUCACUGCAACCUCUGCCUCCCAGGUUCAUCUCCUGCCUCA